rnacentral:rRNA from 1 species
GUUUGAUCCUGGCUCAGGAUAAACGCUGGCGGCGUGCUUAACACAUGCAAGUCGAACGAAGUUUUUCUUUCGGGAGGAACUUAGUGGCGGACGGGUGAGUAACGCGUGGGUAACCUGCCCUGUACAGGGGGACAACAGCUGGAAACGGCUGCUAAUACCGCAUAAGCCCUUAGCACUGCAUGGUGCAUAGGGGAAAGGAGCAAUCCGGUACAGGAUGGACCCGCGUCUGAUUAGCCAGUUGGCAGGGUAACGGCCUACCAAAGCGACGAUCAGUAGCCGAUCUGAGAGGAUGUACGGCCACAUUGGGACUGAGACACGGCCCAGACUCCUACGGGAGGCAGCAGUGGGGAAUAUUGCACAAUGGAGGAAACUCUGAUGCAGCGACGCCGCGUGAGUGAAGAAGUAUUUCGGUAUGUAAAGCUCUAUCAGCAGGGAAGAAAAUGACGGUACCUGACUAAGAAGCACCGGCUAAAUACGUGCCAGCAGCCGCGGUAAUACGUAUGGUGCAAGCGUUAUCCGGAUUUACUGGGUGUAAAGGGAGCGCAGGCGGUGCGGCAAGUCUGAUGUGAAAGCCCGGGGCUCAACCCCGGUACUGCAUUGGAAACUGUCGUACUAGAGUGUCGGAGGGGUAAGUGGAAUUCCUAGUGUAGCGGUGAAAUGCGUAGAUAUUAGGAGGAACACCAGUGGCGAAGGCGGCUUACUGGACGAUAACUGACGCUGAGGCUCGAAAGCGUGGGGAGCAAACAGGAUUAGAUACCCUGGUAGUCCACACAGUAAACGAUGAAUACUCGCUGUUUGCGAUAUACAGUAAGCGGCCAAGCGAAAGCGUUAAGUAUUCCACCUGGGGAGUACGCCGGCAACGGUGAAACUCAAAGGAAUUGACGGGGGCCCGCACAAGCGGAGGAACAUGUGGUUUAAUUCGAUGAUACGCGAGGAACCUUACCCGGGCUUAAAUUGCAUUUGAAUAAUCUGGAAACAGGUUAGCCGCAAGGCAAAUGUGAAGGUGCUGCAUGGUUGUCGUCAGCUCGUGCCGUGAGGUGUCGGCUUAAGUGCCAUAACGAGCGCAACCCUUAUCUUUAGUUACUAACAGGUCAUGCUGAGGACUCUAGAGAGACUGCCGUCGUAAGAUGUGAGGAAGGUGGGGAUGACGUCAAAUCAGCACGGCCCUUACGUCCGGGGCUACACACGUGUUACAAUGGGGGGUACAGAAGGCAGCUACCUGGUGACAGGAUGCUAAUCCCAAAAGCCUCUCUCAGUUCGGAUCGAAGUCUGCAACCCGACUUCGUGAAGCUGGAUUCGCUAGUAAUCGCGCAUCAGCCAUGGCGCGGUGAAUACGUUCCCGGGCCUUGCACACACCGCCCGUCA